AAAAAAAUCUGGCACAUAAGAUACCACGACCAGCAAAGUGAUUUUCUUAGGGUGAGACUUAUCCGUUGCACUCAGGAUGUGGUGUCCCCUGUAAUUUUCCAAAAUGCAGGAAACUUGACUGCAUAAUUUUUGGUAGUGGGAGACUGCUUUCACACUUUCCCCUA